rnacentral:rRNA from 1 species
CGCUGGAUUAGGCAUGCAGUCGCGCGAGAAAUUUUCUUCGGAAAGUGGAAAGCGGCGGAAGGGAGAGGAUAAGGUAGAAAUCUACCCUCGGGACGGGGAUAGCUGCGGGAAACUGCUGGUAAUACCCGAUAAUAUCUUUGGAUCAAAGGUGUGAUUCCGCCUGGGGAUGAGUCUACUUCCUAUUAGCUAGUUGGUGGGGUAAUGGCCUACCAAGGCAACGAUGGGUAGCGGGUGUGAGAGCAUGACCCGCCUCACUGGGACUGAGAACUGCCCAGACACCUACGGGUGGCUGCAGUCGAGAAUCUUCGGCAAUGGGCGCAAGCCUGACCGAGCGACGCCGCGUGCGGGAUGAAGGCCUUCGGGUUGUAAACCGCUGUCGUAGGGGAACAAAUGCAAGGGGGUUCUCCCUCUUGCUUGAGUGAUCCUAGGAGGAAGGGGAGGCUAAGCUCGUGCCAGCAGCCGCGGUAAGACGAGCUCCCCGAACGUUAUUCGGUAUUACUGGGCUUAAAGAGUUCGUAGGCGGCCCGACAGGUGAGGUGUGAAAUCCCUCGGCUCAACCGAGGAACUGCGCUUCAAACCGUCAGGCUUGAGGGAGAUAGAGGUGAGCGGAACAGAUGGUGGAGCGGUGAAAUGCGUUGAUAUCAUCUGGAACACCGGUGGCGAAAGCGGCUCACUGGAUCUUUUCUGACGCUGAGGAACGAAAGCUAGGGUAGCGAACGGGAUUAGAUACCCCGGUAGUCCUAGCCGUAAACGAUGGAUACUAGGUGUAGGAGGUAUCGACCCCUUCUGUGCCGGAGUUAACACAUUAAGUAU